ACAUGACAUAAGGAUUUUCCUGGAACAAGGUACAUCAUAGAUUUCAUUGCUUGAAUAAAACAUUCCUAAUCGAAUGCUUCCUCAUAACCUUCUCAGUUCUGCUCAUACCAGAAUUGUUGUCACAAUGAGGGUCCUGUUGGCCAUUGAGUCAGUCACAUUUGUAGAUGAAUCCUUGUUGUUUUCUGUUAAAUUAAGGCCUGUUUGAGAGUUCCACACACCAAUCUGUAAAGAAUAAAAUAUUCAAAUAACCAAACUGACUGGACAUCAAAGAGCAAUCGGUGCCUGAGUCACCUUCAAGUGAUCAAGGUAAUGAAUGCAAAGGAGGGAAAAGAAACAAAUACAAGAAAGCAGGAAAAUUACAAUGGGAGAACAGACGGACAUGAAAGAAGGGAUCGAGGGAGGGAAGUAAGGAAAAGAACAGAAAACACAACAGUUUAUAUAACUUAAUAUGUCACAUCCUAUACAGAAAUGUUGAACAUUUCUUCCCACCAGCACCUAAAACUUAUUUCUAGUAAGGGGAGACAUCACAGAGGACAGCCAGUAGAGGAAAUUGGUGAACAGUGUCAAUAUUCCUUUAGUCUGCCAGGGCAGCUAAAGUACAGACCUUUUUCCACACUUUAUUCAGGCGAUUGUUGCCAGCGAUUGUCUUGCAGAAAUAAUAAAGAGAGAGAAAUUUAAUCACAGAGCCCUGAUCUUAAAGAAAAAAAAAUACAAUAAUUAAUUUUGCCUUCAAGACAAUGUGGAGUGUGAGAACUCUCAGGGUCAUAGCUCUUAUUACAGUUUAAUUUCAGUUUUUACUUUACUUCCAACUGUAUUAACUAAAGUUUGAUUUCUUUGUAGCGUGGAGGUUUGUCAUCAACAUAUGGCAAAAAUGGAGGUUAUCAAUGUGAUUAAAGGAACACAAACUCAACAACAGACAGAUGGUUUGUGUUCUUUGGGAGGAAGUCAUUGAUCACAACAAGCCCUGGGGAUUACUGUGUAGUUCCACCGACUGUGGCACGUGACACAAGAUUCAACAUUGAACUGGGUGACAUGACGAGGAACGUUAUCCCUUUCGUAAAGUUUCUGACAUUGGUUUCUAAUGCAAAGACCCUAUGCAUCUAAAGAAGGUUACAGGGUAUCACUGCUCUUUGAUUAGACUGCUUCACACAGUCUUACUGCACACAUCUGUGGGACCUACUCACCCCCUAAGUCCAGAUUUAUUUCUGUCAUUAAGUCUCUUUUCAAAUCCCCACCAAUCAAAAGUUUCUCUGUCUCGACCAUGUGUUGGUGUCAUUUACUGCACAUGUAGGGAUGACAAGGGUC